UAUCAACAUAUUCUUUCAACAACGCUACCAUUCUGCUCUUAACAUUUGCCUCCAAAGCAGCCCCAACUUUCACCUCUUUCCUGACCUCGUCGGUACCCAGAUUCACAACCUCAACUUGCUCUUCGCGCGGCUGAAUCACCUUCUCCUCUUGUUUUAACAACCUGGCUAAUUCCUCCGGCAGUUCACAAUCUUCUUCGCCUUCUUC
rnacentral:lncRNA from 1 species